rnacentral:rRNA from 1 species
CUCAGGACGAACGCUGGCGGCAUGCCUAAUACAUGCAAGUCGAGCGGAAUGACGAGAGCUUGCUCUCUGAUUUUAGCGGCGGACGGGUGAGUAACACGUGGGCAACCUGCCCUACAGAUGGGGAUAACUCCGGGAAACCGGGGCUAAUACCGAAUAAUCAGUUUGUCCGCAUGGACAAACUCUGAAAGACGGUUUCGGCUGUCACUGUAGGAUGGGCCCGCGGCGCAUUAGCUAGUUGGUGGGGUAAUGGCCUACCAAGGCAACGAUGCGUAGCCGACCUGAGAGGGUGAUCGGCCACACUGGGACUGAGACACGGCCCAGACUCCUACGGGAGGCAGCAGUAGGGAAUCUUCCACAAUGGACGAAAGUCUGAUGGAGCAAUGCCGCGUGAGCGAAGAAGGUUUUCGGAUCGUAAAGCUCUGUUGUAAGGGAAGAACACGUACGGGAGUAACUGCCCGUGCCAUGACGGUACCUUAUUAGAAAGCCACGGCUAACUACGUGCCAGCAGCCGCGGUAAUACGUAGGUGGCAAGCGUUGUCCGGAAUUAUUGGGCGUAAAGCGCGCGCAGGCGGUUCUUUAAGUCUGAUGUGAAAGCCCACGGCUCAACCGUGGAGGGUCAUUGGAAACUGGAGAACUUGAGUACAGAAGAGGAAAGCGGAAUUCCACGUGUAGCGGUGAAAUGCGUAGAGAUGUGGAGGAACACCAGUGGCGAAGGCGG